rnacentral:rRNA from 14 species
GAAUGAUGACAAGCACCGCGAUGAGCGGGGUGAAAGAGUACCUGAAACCGUGUGCCUACAAGCGGUCGGAGCUCCUCGGAGUGACGGCGUGCUUUUUGCAUAAUGAGCCCGCGAGUUAGUCUCAUCGGCGAGCCUAAGGCCUACCGGGCCGGAGGCGAAGGGAAACCGAGUCUGAAUAGGGCGCCCAGUUGCAGGGGCUAGACGCGAAACCCGUGUGAUCUACC